rnacentral:RNase_P_RNA from 1 species
AAUUUGAUUCGGGCGUUCGCCCCAUUGGGGAGGAAAGUCCGGGCUCGAGAAGUCAGCGCGCCGGGGAUAAUCCCGGGCACUCGGAGUUAAUCCGUAUGACGGAAAGUGCCGCAGAAACAAAACCGCCCCAUUAGGGGUAAGGGUGAAAAGUGCGGGAGUAAGACCCCGCUCGGCGUGUCGAGAGGCACUGCCGUGGUAAACCCCGCGUCGAGCAAGGCCAAAUAGAAGGGUAGGGGCGGCUUCCCCCGAUGACCCUUGGGUGGGCCGCUGAAGUGCAUGGGCAACCGUGCAUAGAGAUAGAUGGAUGCCCCCCUCUCGCGAGGGGACAGAACCCGGCUUAUAGAAUCGAAUUAUUC